CAACGAUGGGCGACACCCAGGCAGGCGUGCCCUCAGCCUAAUGGCUUCGGGCGCAACUUGCGUUCAAAGACUCGAUGGUUCACGGGAUUCUGCAAUUCACACCAAGUAUCGCAUUUCGCUACGUUCUUCAUCGAUGCAAGAGCCGAGAUAUCCGUUGCCGAGAG
rnacentral:rRNA from 1 species